UCGACUGUGUAACAUCGUUCUGGGCGGUAGUCGUUUAACAGGAGUUUACUAAGUGAUCCUUUUUUUCCUCAAGAGUGGCGUAUUCUAUUCCUCCUUGAGUUAUCGUAGCGUAAUUGGUUCUGUUGCGAAGUUAAAAAAAAAAAUAAAUAAAUAAAAAAUAAAUAAAUAAAUAAACCGUUUUAUCACGCGACUAGAGUACCUUAUAGUUGGCGCUUGAGAUUACCAUCGAUUGUUGUAACUUCGUUGGUCAAGUUAUAAUAGACCCCGGGCUUCUGCAAGUAUGUUUUUGGUACGAGUUUGACUUUGCGUUCCUGUUUUAACAAUAACGUUUCACGCAAUGUAAAGCUGCUCUUUAGCAACAGAACGUUGCGUAGUCACUGAAGCAGAAAAGAAACCUCUGCUUUCAGUGAACCACGAGACAAGUGUGUGCAGUGAAGGAUGGACGUGGCAGUUCUGGCUGAAGCCGGCUUUUCAAUAGAAGACUGAAGAUGGACCUUGACUUAAGCGUAGUUAUGCCUGCAUAGUCUGCCUGUGCGGGCAAAACUGAACCUACUAAAAAGCCCGUCCACACUUGUGGGGCACUUCCAUCUGUUUAUAUUUUUCUCUCGUUUCUGAAGUAUUGUUACCAGACAAUCUCAUCGUUCUGGCUCCAUACUCGGUCAGUCAGUAGUGGAACGGGUUAUAGGAACAGUGUUUGCCUGUCGCGCAGUGCUCGCUAGUGAGGACAGGGCCUAAUGUUCAGAUAUACCUGCACAGUUAUACUAGUGCAGGCAAAGUUGAAUUUGGUGGCGACCUUUACUCAUAAAGUGUCUGUACGACUAAGAAUGUUCCUGGAGCGGUCUUUGUGGACUUUCUACAGCUGUGAGGUGGGGGUCUACCGGCCCAUGUUUUUGAAAGGUCCAAGUCCUGCAUGUAGUAUUUCUCUUCCCCCACCCCACCCACACCCCACAAAUGCUUCCAUCCGUAUAUGGAUGUGCACACCACUGCAGUAAUGGCCAUUAACAUAUGCAUAGCCCUUUUUGGAGACGUCAGUUGAGGGCUUCAUACAUUUCGUCGUCAAGUGAAACUGUACUCCUAGCUAGGGAUUCGCAUCCCUUCAGGGAACACCUUUCGUCACUCGUGAAGUCGUGGACCGAUGAAAUACUUGACGUCCUUCAGUGGACUUUAAGGACAACAGCCAGUAACUACUAUGCAAACCCAAUUCUAUUUUAGUGCGUUGUAUCAUGUAUUUGUAUAUAAUGCUGUCCAGGAGACGAACUCUACAUAUAUUAAGUUGAGGAGUUGAAUUUUUCAUUGUAAUAAAUGAUUACUUAAG